GAGUUUGAUCCUGGCUCAGGACGAACGCUGGCGGCGUGCCUAAUACAUGCAAGUCGAACGCACGAAGUUGAAGAGCUUGCUCUUUAACCAAGUGAGUGGCGGACGGGUGAGUAACACGUGGGUAACCUGCCCAUUAGAGGGGGAUAACAUUCGGAAACGGAUGCUAAUACCGCAUAGUUUCAGGAAUCGCAUGAUUCUUGAAGGAAAGGUGGCUUCGGCUACCACUAAUGGAUGGACCCGCGGCGUAUUAGCUAGUUGGUGAGGUAAUGGCUCACCAAGGCAAUGAUACGUAGCCGACCUGAGAGGGUGAUCGGCCACACUGGGACUGAGACACGGCCCAGACUCCUACGGGAGGCAGCAGUAGGGAAUCUUCCGCAAUGGACGAAAGUCUGACGGAGCAACGCCGCGUGAGUGAAGAAGGUUUUCGGAUCGUAAAACUCUGUUGUUAAAGAAGAACAAGGAUGAGAGUAACUGCUCAUCCCCUGACGGUAUUUAACCAGAAAGCCACGGCUAACUACGUGCCAGCAGCCGCGGUAAUACGUAGGUGGCAAGCGUUGUCCGGAUUUAUUGGGCGUAAAGCGAGCGCAGGCGGUUCUUUAAGUCUGAUGUGAAAGCCCCCGGCUCAACCGGGGAGGGUCAUUGGAAACUGGAGAACUUGAGUGCCGAAGAGGAGAGUGGAAUUCCACGUGUAGCGGUGAAAUGCGUAGAUAUGUGGAGGAACACCAGUGGCGAAGGCGACUCUCCGGUCUGUAACUGACGCUGAGGCUCGAAAGCGUGGGGAGCAAACAGGAUUAGAUAC
rnacentral:rRNA from 1 species